ACCUGGUCCACUUUCAAGCACUUUCCAAUCAGAACAAAAGACGUAUUCAUGGCCAUGUUCAAAACCACUCAUAUAUCAACGCCAAAAUCAAAUGCUCAUUCUGUUCCAACCAGCAAUACACACAACACACAAAACACCAAGCACAACACGCAGAACACAAAACCAUCCUUCUCUUUCUAUCUCUAGAGCUUUGCACAUGAGAAGCUGAAACUGAGACUCCAAAUCGAAGGAUAACAAAGAAGGCAAUGGCUUUUCUUCUACCAAAUUUCUCUCCCUCUCUACCCCUCCAAACCAAAUCAAAAGAAAAACCCAUGAACCAGACACUUUCUCUGACAAAACCCAGCUUUUGUUUCUCUCAUCUCUCUCCUCUGGCCAGCCUGCAGACACCCACUUUGUUGGAGGGGGCACAGCUUAACACCUCCAGGGUUGCGCAGGAUAAGCAGCAAAGAGACGACUUUUAUGUCAAUCUUGGCGUUGCUGUACGCACUCUUCGUGAAGACAUCCCUUUAAUUUUCGCCAAAGACCUUAAUUAUGACAUUUAUAGGGAUGAUAUAACAUUUACGGAUCCCUUGAACACAUUCACUGGCAUUGAGAAUUACAAAUUGAUCUUCUGGGCUUUGAGAUUUCAUGGCAAGAUUCUGUUCCGUGACAUUUCACUUGAGGUUUAUAGGAUUUGGCAGCCUUCAGAGAAUGUGAUAUUGAUAAGAUGGAACAUGAAGGGUGUUCCUCGGGUUCCAUGGGAAGCACAGGGUCAAUUUCAGGGCACCUCGCGAUAUAAACUAGAUCGAAAAGGCAAAAUAUAUGAACACAAAGUCGAUAACUUGGCAUUUAAUUUCCCACAGAAGCUCAAACCAGCUGCAUCAGUGUUAGAUUUAGUGGCAGCAUGCCCUGCUAGUCCUAACCUGACGUUUUUGUGGGGUCCUGCGGAUGUGUACUCGUCUUCAUGGUUGGAGUUUUAUCGAGCAGUGAGGGGGACUUUGGAUCGAGAUAGUUUCUUGCUUCCACAAGAUGGUUUGGUUAGCUAAUGAGCUGCUUCAGAUAUGAAUCUAUACAGUAGAAUAUGUAACGUAUAUGUGUUGUGCAUUACAUUUUGUAUUAUAUAUUGGUAGAUAGCAGAUAAUGGUUUUUGUUGAAGAACAAGGUUGUAUAUACAUAGGGAGAUCCUGAAGAGUUCAAUUUACUUCUUGUGGUGGUGGAGGCAAAGAAGCUAGGGUACAUUUUGUGAGCUUAUACAGGUUGAAUUUUCUUAGAGGUUGCCUUCUUCUACUGUUGCUGAGUUGUAAAAUAGAUGCUGUCUUACAUGAUUCCUCAUCUAUCUCGUUUGGUCCGGUUGCUAUUACCAUUCGUUUCUUGUCACUACUAAUCUCAAGCAUUUGGUUUGUUCUAGCCCUACAUGUUAUGUCAUGGACCUUGUUCCAGCCCUACAUGAUUCCUCAUUUGCUCAUAGUUAUGUUUCUCCAAAAAUGUUCCCUUCUGUUCUUCUAUGUAAGUUAGGGUCUCUAAUUUCCUGUAUCUCUUCCAAAUUUGCUUUUCAUA